UCAUGUUUAUAUUACAUAAAAAUUAAAAAAUAUUAAUUGACAUUAUAGUUGAUAAAAUAAAAAUUAUUAACAUAUUUAUGUAUAAUGGGGAUUGGGGUGGGGGUGGGGUGGGGAGUGCAAUACUAAACCCCACCCCGUUAACAAUUUGGGGGUUAUUUUUCUCCCACUCCCCACCUUAUUCUCCAAAAAUUAUUAAAAAUUUUUCCCAUUUGGGGUGGGGCUCCAUGGGGCCCCAAACCCGUGGAGGAUUUUGCCAUCCCUACAUUAAACUAUGGCAUUCGUUUUUUGGAACAUCACUUUAUGAAUUUAAGAUCACUAAUGCAAUUAUAGUAUUAAAUCAUGAAAUUUAAUAGUUUUCAUAGUCAUUAUACUAUUAAAACGCUUGGUUUAAUAGUCUUUCUAAACUUUAACAAAUCCAUAAUCUUAAAUUCGAACAUUUCUUUAUGAAUUUAGACAAAAAUGAUAUCUUUACUUCACAUUUAUUAAAUCCUACUUGUCAUGAAUAUGCAAUUCUUAUUAUUGUAAAAAAAAAAAUUGAUAACAAAAUUAAUGGAUAAAUGAUAAUGUUGUCACUGUCUCUAAUAAUUUACCUGAGAUAAAAUAAGCCAUUCAUAAAGAGAAUAGUAUUUUAAGCAAUGAAAAGUAAUAUAUUUCUAAUGACAGAUAAACUACUAGGCCUACAUGAUCAAGCUUCUAGUAACAUCCAAAUCGCAACUUGAUCUUUAAUCGUAAUAAUAACGCGGACUUGAGGAGUUUUUUUUGGUCUUGUUUUCAAUAAUAUACUUCAUUUGCGUAUAAUGUGGAAUCGUUGUUGAAACCGAUGUUGCAAUUACCUUUACUUAUUUCGUUUGCUCAAGUUUUCUAAAAAUUUUAAUCUGAUUUCCUUGCUUCUCAAAGAGUCGGCAUUUUACUUCAAAAUAAAUUAUUACACUACUAUAGCAAAACACUUCCAUAGUGAUGCUCUAUAUAAGAGUAACUUCUAUUCAGUUAUAAAAAAUCAUGAUCCUAAUUUGAGUUAGUUAUAUAGAAGAAUAAACUUCAAAUCAUAAUAAGUAAUAAUAUUUUUAUAUCUCGUCUUAAAAAACUUACCUGCACAAAAUAAUAAUUUUUUGUAUCUUACAAAACAUAUAACCUAAUUUUUUUUAAUUAUAUCUAUCUCUGUUAUCAAUGUCUAUAUAUUAAAUUUGACAUGCUCUAUUAAUUAAUUGUUAAUGCAGUGCAUAUUUUACUUUUAUAUCACUUACACUAAGGAGAAUUAAGUCAAAGCAAUAAUCUUUAUAACUGCACCUCUAUUGAGUUAUAACAAUCUCAUAACAAUAAAAUUAAUUUAGUCCCAACAUUAUGACCAUAGUAACAUUUUACUAUAUAAAAAUAAAUAAUGAAAUGAGAUAGGCGAGUCCAAAUCUGACAUUUCAACUAGAGUAUGAAGAUUGUAAUAACUUCAAAUCUAUAAUUCAACUCCAGAUUGUAACUCAAUACCUAAACUUUAAAAUUUUGGCAAAAAUACACGAACCACAUCAUCAAAAAGGUGAUAAUUUUGGUUCGUCAAGUCAAAAGCUUUGAAACAAGGCAUUAUAAGCCGAAUCCUGAAUCCGACGCCACGAGUUAUAGGAGUCAUCCCGAAGACAAAUGAAGGGUAAAAGCUCAUUUAUUUCUUAUAUUUUAAGAUUAGUAUCCAUUUAGUCCCUAUAUUUUUAAAAAUAUCUCGAAACAUCCAUGCCGUUAAAGUAUUGAUACCCCUACCGUUACUUUUUAUUUCUUUUGACUUACUUUUAUAAUAUUACCCUUUUAUAAUUUUUUUUGGUUGGACAUUAAUAAAAAGAAAAUAAUUAGAUUUCUAAUUUA
rnacentral:lncRNA from 1 species